UUAUCUCUUCCCUUGAUUCUUCUCCACAAAAUUCAAAACCCUAGCCCCCAUUUUGUUUUUCCUCAACACACACAAUCUGGAUAUCUAGAGAAAGAGUGAGAGUUGAAAGAAAGAGAGGGGCAAGAUGCAGCGAUGACAUCCGGCCGGCCACCUGGUCAUGACGGCGCUGCGGUUGUGGUUUCCCGGUGGUGUUUUAGUGGCAGAAGGGUUGUGUGGGUGCGACCGGGGUUUAAGGUGAUGACGGGAUGGGUGGUAAGGAGCAGGAGAGGCAACUGAGUGGUACACAGUGGCUCGAUGGGGAUGCACGACCACCACAGCGGCGGUAAUUGGUGCGGUGGUGGAUUGAACACCGAUUUGAUAUCUAAACGCACAAGGUUGAACACCGAUUUGAAGAAACCCUAACCUAAUUGCAGGUGUGGAACUUGCAAUCCCAAGUGGAAAAGUUAAAUAAAUGAUUCGAAGAGGCGCAACAAUCCCACACGGAAGUGUUGCAAAACCAAGUCGAAGGGAUGCAACACAAAUGAGAGAAGAUAUGCAACGACAAAUAACCGAGUUGAUGAAGCAGUUUGGUAAUCCUAGCAAUCCUCCACCAUAGUUUAGUUUUGUUUGUUUUCUUUUGCGGUUGAACUUGUAAUUUAACAACCGUGGCAUAUUUUCUUGUUGAACCUACAAUUAGACAAUGGUUUUGUAUUUUGUGGAUGAACUUUAAGUUCUAUAAUCGUGUCGUAUUUAGGAUUUUUAUUGGA